rnacentral:rRNA from 1 species
UACGUAGGGUGCAAGCGUUAAUCGGAAUUACUGGGCGUAAAGCGUGCGCAGGCGGUGAUGUAAGACAGGUGUGAAAUCCCCGGGCUUAACCUGGGAAUGGCAUUUGGGACUGCAAGGCUGGAGUGCGGCAGAGGAGACUGGAAUUCCUGGUGUAGCAGUGAAAUGCGUAGAGUAUCAGGAGGAACACCGAUGGCGAAGGCAGGUCUCUGGGCUGACACUGACGCUCAUGCACGAAAGCGUGGGGAGCAAACAGGA